GAUAUACUGUAGUGAUAUACUGUAGUGAUAUACUAGGAGGAGGAUAUAAUGUAGUGAUAUACUGUCGUGUUGAGGAUAUACUGUAGUGAUAUACUGUAAGGAUGAGGAUAUACUGUAGUGAUAUACUGUCGUGUUGAGGAUAUACUGUAGUGAUAUACUGUGAGGAGGAUAUAAUGUAGUGAUAUACUGUAGUGAUAUACUGUAGUGGAGAGGAGGAGGAUAUAAUGUAGUGAUAUACUGUCGUGUUGAGGAUAUACUGUAGUGAUAUUGUCGUGUUGAGGAUAUACUGUAGUGAUAUACUGUGAGGAGGAUAUAAUGUAGUGAUAUACUGUCGUGUUGAGGAUAUACUGUAGUGAUAUACUGUAGUGGAGAGGAGGAGGAUAUAAUGUAGUGAUAUACUGUCGUGUUGAGGAUAUACUGUAGUGAUAUUCUGUAGUGGAGAGGAGGAGGAUAUAAUGUAGUGAUAUACUGUCGUGUUGAGGAUAUACUGUAGUGAUAUUCUGUAGUGGAGAGGAGGAGGAUAUAAUGUAGUGAUAUACUGUCAGGAGGAUAUACUGUAGUGAUAUACUGUAGUGAUA
ensembl:lncRNA